GCUAUCGGGGUGGGACUAAAACAUGCGAGUCGAGCGCUUUCAAGCUAUGUGAAGCGCGCGAACGGCUCAGUAACACGUGGCUAACCUACCCUUUGGACGGGGACAACCCCGGGAAACUGGGGCUAAUCCCCGAUAGAUGAGGAGGCCUGGAAUGGUUUCUCAUCUAAAAGGCGUUUAGACCAUGCUUCUAGGCGUCGCCAAAGGAUGGGGCCGCGGCCGAUCAGGUUGUUGGUGAGGUAACGGCUUACCAAGCCUAUAACCGGUACGGGCCGUGAGAGCGGGAGCCCGGAGAUGGGCACUGAGACAAGGGCCCAGGCCCUACGGGGCGCAGCAGUUGCGAAAACUCCGCAAUGCGCGAAAGCGUGACGGGGCUACCCCGAGUGCCGUCCGCUGAGGACGGCUUUUCCACGGUGUAAGGAGCCGUGGGAAUAAGGAGAGGGCAAGCCUGGUGUCAGCCGCCGCGGUAAAACCAGCUCUCCGAGUGGUGGGGAUGAUUAUUGGGCUUAAAGCGUUCGUAGCCGGCUCAGCAAGUCUUCCGUUAAAUCCAGCGAUCUAAUCGUUGGACUGCGGAAGAUACUGUUGGGCUAGGGGACGGGAGAAGCCGACGGUAUUCUCGGGGUAGGGGCGAAAUCCUAUAAUCCCGGGAGGACCACCAGUGGCGAAGGCGGUCGGCUAGAACGCGCCCGACGGUGAGGGACGAAAGCUGGGGGAGCGAACCGGAUUAGAUACCCGGGUAGUCCCAGCUGUAAACUAUGCGGGCUAGGUGUUGGGGCGGCCACGAGCCGCUUCAGUGCCGCACGGAAGCAAUUAAGCCCGCCGCCUGGGAAGUACGGCCGCAAGGCUGAAACUUAAAGGAAUUGGCGGGGGAGCACCACAAGGCGUGAAGCUUGCGGUUUAAUUGGAGUCAACGCCGGG
rnacentral:rRNA from 1 species